AGGUCAAGAGUUCCGCCCAGGCAUGACUGAAAUAUCAGCACAAUAACAUGGGAGGAACCUGAGGAGACUCUGGAGUGCAUCGUUGUGUUUGUUCCCACGUUCCCUCCCUCCACUUCCUGUCACCCACUCCUGACACAGGAAAUGCUUAGCCAGGGACGCUGGAGGAAAGCAUUACAUACUGUUAGCCAAAAGCUACAAGGAAAAGCUCUGGCUGGAUCUUCCAUACUGACUGAGCACAAUGAGCAGCUGCGUCAGGAUCAGAGCCGUGCUUAAGCUGGGCACAGUGCUCCGGAAAUUCAGCAGCUGCUCCAGGGUUUGGUCUGCAUCUUUCUCCUUCAGUCGGCUGGCAAGCACACUGAGAGCACUCUUUAACAGCGGCCUCUGUUCCAGCUGGGAGAAGCCAGACCUGAAAACAUAUCACAACCUCACACACUGCAUCAG